AGAGUUUGAUCCUGGCUCAGAACGAACGCUGGCGGCGUGGAUAAGACAUGCAAGUCGAACGAGAGAAUUGCUAGCUUGCUAAUAAUUCUCUAGUGGCGCACGGGUGAGUAACACGUGAGUAACCUGCCCCCGAGAGCGGGAUAGCCCUGGGAAACUGGGAUUAAUACCGCAUAGUAUCGAAAGAUUAAAGCAGCAAUGCGCUUGGGGAUGGGCUCGCGGCCUAUUAGUUAGUUGGUGAGGUAACGGCUCACCAAGGCGAUGACGGGUAGCCGGUCUGAGAGGAUGUCCGGCCACACUGGAACUGAGACACGGUCCAGACACCUACGGGUGGCAGCAGUCGAGAAUCAUUCACAAUGGGGGAAACCCUGAUGGUGCGACGCCGCGUGGGGGAAUGAAGGUCUUCGGAUUGUAACCCCUGUCAUGUGGGAGCAAAUUAAAAAGAUAGUACCGCAAGAGGAAGAGACGGCUAACUCUGUGCCAGCAGCCGCGGUAAUACAGAGGUCUCAAGCGUUGUUCGGAAUCACUGGGCGUAAAGCGUGCGUAGGCUGUUUCGUAAGUCGUGUGUGAAAGGCGCGGGCUCAACCCGCGGACGGCACAUGAUACUGCGAGACUAGAGUAAUGGAGGGGGAACCGGAAUUCUCGGUGUAGCAGUGAAAUGCGUAGAUAUCGAGAGGAACACCCGUGGCGAAGGCGGGUUCCUGGACAUUAACUGACGCUGAGGCACGAAGGCCAGGGGAGCGAAAGGGAUUAGAUACCCCUGUAGUCCUGGCAGUAAACGGUGCACGCUUGGUGUGCGGGGAAUCGACCCCUGCGUGCCGGAGCUAACGCGUUAAGCGUGCCGCCUGGGGAGUACGGUCGCAAGAUUAAAACUCAAAGAAAUUGACGGGGACCCGCACAAGCGGUGGAGUAUGUGGCUUAAUUCGAUGCAACGCGAAGAACCUUACCUGGGCUUGACAUGUAAUGAACAACAUGUGAAAGCAUGCGACUCUUCGGAGGCGUUACACAGGUGCUGCAUGGCCGUCGUCAGCUCGUGUCGUGAGAUGUUUGGUUAAGUCCAGCAACGAGCGCAACCCCUGUUGCCAGUUACCAGCACGUGAAGGUGGGGACUCUGGCGAGACUGCCCAGAUCAACUGGGAGGAAGGUGGGGACGACGUCAGGUCAGUAUGGCCCUUAUGCCCAGGGCUGCACACGUACUACAAUGCCCAGUACAGAGGGGGCCGAAGCCGCGAGGCGGAGGAAAUCCUAAAAACUGGGCCCAGUUCGGACUGUAGGCUGCAACCCGCCUACACGAAGCCGGAAUCGCUAGUAAUGGCGCAUCAGCUACGGCGCCGUGAAUACGUUCCCGGGUCCUGCACACACCGCCCGUCA
rnacentral:rRNA from 1 species